rnacentral:rRNA from 1 species
UACAGAGGUCUCAAGCGUUGUUCGGAUUCAUUGGGCGUAAAGGGCGCGUAGGCGGCGGGGUAAGUCUGGUGUGAAAUCGUCGGAGCUCAACUCCGAAAUUGCACUGGAUACUGCUCUGCUAGAGGGCUGGAGAGGAGAUCGGAAUUCACGGUGUAGCAGUGAAAUGCGUAGAUAUCGUGAGGAAGACAGUGGCGAAGGCGGAUCUCUGGACAGCUCCUGACGCUGAGGCGCGAAGGCUAGGGGAGCAAACGGG